GACGAACGCUGGCGGCGUGCUUAACACAUGCAAGUCGAACGGAAAGGCCCUGCUUGCAGGGUACUCGAGUGGCGAACGGGUGAGUAACACGUGGGUGAUCUGCCCUGCACUUCGGGAUAAGCCUGGGAAACUGGGUCUAAUACCGGAUAGGAGCCAUUUUUAGUGUGAUGGUUGGAAAGUUUUUUCGGUGUAGGAUGAGCUCGCGGCCUAUCAGCUUGUUGGUGGGGUAAUGGCCUACCAAGGCGGCGACGGGUAGCCGGCCUGAGAGGGUGGACGGCCACAUUGGGACUGAGUUACGGCCCAGACUCCCACGGGUGGCAGCCGGGGGGAAUAUUUCACAAUGGGCGCAAGCCUGAUGCAGCGACGCCGCGUGGGGGAUGACGGCCUUCGGGUUGGAAACUCCUUUCGCUAGGGACGAAGCUUUUUGUGACGGUACCUAGAUAAGAAGCACCGGCUAACUACGUG
rnacentral:rRNA from 1 species